AGCGAACGCUGGCGGCAGGCCUAACACAUGCAAGUCGAACGAACCUUUCGGGGUUAGUGGCGGACGGGUGAGUAACACGUGGGAACGUGCCUUUAGGUUCGGAAUAACUCAGGGAAACUUGUGCUAAUACCGAAUGUGCCCUUCGGGGGAAAGAUUUAUCGCCUUUAGAUCGGCCCGCGUCUGAUUAGCUAGUUGGUUGAGGUAAUGGCUCACCAAGGCGACGAUCAGUAGCUGGUCUGAGAGGAUGAUCAGCCACAUUGGGACUGAGACACGGCCCAAACUCCGACGGGAGGCAGCAGUGGGGAAUCUUGCGCAAUGGGCGAAAGCCUGACGCAGCCAUGCCGCGUGAAUGAUGAAGGUCUUAGGAUUGUAAAAUUCUUUCACCGGGGACGAUAAUGACGGUACCCGGAGAAGAAGCCCCGGCUAACUUCGUG
rnacentral:rRNA from 1 species